UACGGAGGUUGCAAGCGUUGUUCGGAAUUACUGGGCGUAAAGGGAGCGCAGGCGGCCAAGUCAGUCUGAAGUGAAAUCCCGGGGCUUAACCUCGGAAGUGCUUUGGAUACUACUUGGCUAGAGUACGUGAGAGGUGAGCGGAAUUCCAGGUGUAGCGGUGAAAUGCGUAGAUAUCUGGAGGAACACCCGUGGCGAAAGCGGCUCACUGGCGCGUAACUGACGCUGAGGCUCGAAAGCGUGGGGAGCAAACGGG
rnacentral:rRNA from 1 species